AUUGAACGCUGGCGGCAUGCUUUACACAUGCAAGUCGAACGGUAACAGGCCGCAAGGUGCUGACGAGUGGCGAACGGGUGAGUAAUGCAUCGGAACGUGCCCAGUCGUGGGGGAUAACGCAGCGAAAGUUGCGCUAAUACCGCAUACGAUCUAUGGAUGAAAGCGGGGGACCGUAAGGCCUCGCGCGAUUGGAGCGGCCGAUGUCAGAUUAGGUAGUUGGUGGGGUAAAGGCUCACCAAGCAGACGAUCUGUAGCUGGUCUGAGAGGACGACCAGCCACACUGGGACUGAGACACGGCCCAGACUCCUACGGGAGGCAGCAGUGGGGAAUUUUGGACAAUGGGCGCAAGCCUGAUCCAGCAAUGCCGCGUGCAGGAAGAAGGCCUUCGGGUUGUAAACUGCUUUUGUACGGAACGAAACGGUCCUGGUUAAUACCCGGGGCUAAUGACGGUACCGUAAGAAUAAGCACCGGCUAACUACGUGCCAGCAGCCGCAGUAAGAC
rnacentral:rRNA from 1 species